AAACAGAUGAAAGGAGGUGCUCUAGUGUCUAUUGGGAUUACGGAGAGAGGUGUCGGAACAGUCUGGAAGGGAAAAUCCUGAGGCAGCCCUUGGGGUUCAACUGACCAGAUUGGUGGCAGCCUAACCGGCCCCACCUCCUAAACUCGAGGGAGCCAUCCGAACCGAUCGGAUGGCUC
rnacentral:misc_RNA from 1 species